UACGUAGGGUGCGAGCGUUAAUCGGAAUUACUGGGCGUAAAGUGUGCGCAGGUGGCCGCGCAAGUCGAGUGUGAAAUCCCCGAGCUUAACUUGGGAAUUGCGCUCGAAACUACGGUGCUGGAGUAUGGCAGAGGAAGGUGGAAUUCCACGUGUAGCGGUGAAAUGCGUAGAGAUGUGGAGGAACACCGGUGGCGAAGGCGGCAUCCUGGACCGACACUGACGCUGAGGAGCGAAAGCCAGGGGAGCAAACGGG
rnacentral:rRNA from 1 species